CUUAGCCCAAAGUUUUCAGGCCCAAACCAUUUUUCCAAUCCUAUCGACUAAACCUAUUAAUGCCUCUCCUCCGCACUGUCAAAGACGACGCUCCAUCUUCAUCGGUUUCUCCCCUCCUUCUUUGAUCUUCUUUGAUUAUCCAGGCAUGGGGAAUGAGUAAAUAAUCUAUGUGUGUCGUCGGAACCGAAUGUUGUUGUUGAAAUCAGCGGAUUGAAUCAGUAUUCCAAUUCGCGAGUUUCAUCAAAGGAUCGACAUUAAUUUGCGAAAACCAAUAUCAGCGAUGAGCCGUGAGGGCUUCUCGGUUCUUCAAAUCUCAGUUCUUAGCUGCCGCCAUUGAUGCUACUAAAAAAGCUGGACAGGUCAUUCGUAAAGGGUUUUACAAGACCAAACAUGUUGAACACAAAGGCCAGGCGGAUUUGGUGACGGAGACCGAUAAGGAUUUGAAGAUUCGUCUUUAAUCAUCUCAAGCAGCUUUUCCCAACCACAAGCUUAUUGGAGAAAAAACUGCUGCUGCAUUCGGUGUGACAAAAAAAACUUGGAUUGUUUAUCCUCUUGAUGGAACUUCUAAUUUCGUUUGCGGGUGCGACACCUCAGUUCUUGGUCUGAAACAUCGUUUCAACUUUGAAUUAAACUAGAAGAUACAUUGAAAAAUUUUCAAAACCCAAUGAAAAAAGCAAAGUGAUGAGUCAAUGAUCCCUUCAAAAGAUCAGAGCUCUAUUCAAGUUGUUUCUUCAGGAGGGAGAGUUGUUGUUACCGGGAUGGUAUCCCUUGCUGGUUCUAGAAUUCAGGUUUCCUAUGUUUCUCAUGUAAAAAGAAGCCGUCCAAGGGAAAACAAUCAAACAUAAUGACACUUGGGGAAUUUCAUUCCAAGUCAUGGGAGGUGAAAGCUACUCCAAACAAGAGUAACCUGAAUUCAAAUCUCUCUCAGUGGAACAAUGAUGUGAACCGAGUUUCAGGUGUCAAAUCUGCUUCAGGACCUUUCAAGAAAGAACAGCAAGGACCAUUUAAAACCGAUUUUCAAUGAGGUGGAUCAAGACUACAUGGAGUCAGAGAACUUAGACUCAUCUGGAGAUAGCUCAGACGAAAAUAAUCGCGUUGAUCUUCCACACAGUGCAAUGAGAAGGAAGCAUCAUCGAGCUUGGACUGUCACUGAAGUUAAAAAAACUUGUCGAAGGUGUGACGAAAUAUGGAGUAGGGAAAUGGUCUGAGAUAAAAGGUUUCAUUUUCAUCAUUCGUGUACCGUACCCCUGUGGAUCUCAAGGACAAAUGGCGAAAUUUACGAAGAGCAUGCUUUUCUCAAACUCCGUCAAACAAGAUGUCGUGUUUUUGCAGGGAGGUCCAAAGAAGCAGGGGUCAAUGGCCAUUCCUACACAGAUUAUGUUGCAGGUAACAGAGCUUGCUCAGAAACAGUCACCGGUUCGCAAGGGUAGUAGAGUAGUAGUGAAGGGAUCAUUAAGAAAUGGUUUCUUGUAGGGUUUUGUUUCGUAUAAAUUGACUGGCCUGGAUGUGAGAUUAACUACUCUUUUAGUUUUGAUUUUGUAGACUUAAAGGUAUUGUGAUUUAAACCGGAUUACUAACUGGUGUUAUUGUAAUUGAUAUGAGAUGGUUCCUUACUAUG